UACGGGAGGCAGCAGUGGGGAAUAUUGCACAAUGGGCGCAAGCCUGAUGCAGCGACGCCGCGUGGGGGAUGACGGCCUUCGGGUUGUAAACCUCUUUCAGUAGGGACGAAGCGCAAGUGACGGUACCUACAGAAGAAGCACCGGCCAACUACGUGCCAGCAGCCGCGGUAAUACGUAGGGUGCGAGCGUUGUCCGGAAUUACUGGGCGUAAAGAGCUCGUAGGUGGUUUGUCGCGUUGUUCGUGAAAACCGGGGGCUUAACCCUCGGCGUGCGGGCGAUACGGGCAGACUGGAGUACUGCAGGGGAGACUGGAAUUCCUGGUGUAGCGGUGGAAUGCGCAGAUAUCAGGAGGAACACCGGUGGCGAAGGCGGGUCUCUGGGCAGUAACUGACGCUGAGGAGCGAAAGCGUGGGGAGCGAACAGGAUUAGAUACCCUGGUAGUCCACGCCGUAAACGGUGGGUACUAGGUGUGGGUUUCCUUCCUUGGGAUCCGUGCCGUAGCUAACGCAUUAAGUACCCCGCCUGGGGAGUACGGCCGCAAGGCUAAAACUCAAA
rnacentral:rRNA from 1 species